rnacentral:snoRNA from 1 species
UCACAAUGAUGAAUGGUCCAAAACAUUCGCGGUUUCCACCAGAACCUCAGAUGUUGGCAGUUCCUUCCUUGGAUGUCUGAGUGA